UAGGGAAUCUUCGGCAAUGGACGGAAGUCUGACCGAGCAACGCCGCGUGAGUGAAGAAGGUUUUCGGAUCGUAAAGCUCUGUUGUAAGAGAGGAACGAGUGUGAGAGUGGAAAGUUCACACUGUGACGGUAUCUUACCAGAAAGGGACGGCUAACUACGUGCCAGCAGCCGCGGUAAUACGUAGGUCCCGAGCGUUGUCCGGAUUUAUUGGGCGUAAAGCGAGCGCAGGCGGUUAGAUAAGUCUGAAGUUAAAGGCUGUGGCUUAACCAUAGUACGCUUUGGAAACUGUUUAACUUGAGUGCAAGAGGGGAGAGUGGAAUUCCAUGUGUAGCGGUGAAAUGCGUAGAUAUAUGGAGGAACACCGGUGGCGAAAGCGGCUCUCUGGCUUGUAACUGACGCUGAGGCUCGAAAGCGUGGGGAGCAAACAGGAUUAGAUACCCUGGUAGUCCACGCCGUAAACGAUGAGUGCUAGGUGUUAGACCCUUUCCGGGGUUUAGUGCCGCAGCUAACGCAUUAAGCACUCCGCCUGGGGAGUACGACCGCAAGGUUG
rnacentral:rRNA from 1 species